rnacentral:rRNA from 1 species
CAGCCGCCGCGGUAAGACAGAGGAUGCAAGCGUUAUCCGGAAUGAUUGGGCGUAAAGCGUCUGUAGGUGGCUUUUCAAGUCCGCCGUCAAAUCCCAGGGCUCAACCCUGGACAGGCGGUGGAAACUACCAAGCUGGAGUACGGUAGGGGCAGAGGGAGUUUCCGGUGGAGCGGUGAAAUGCGUUGAGAUCGGAAAGAACACCAACGGCGAAGGCACUCUGCUGGGCCGACACUGACACUGAGAGACGAAAGCUAGGGGAGCAAAUGGGAUUAGAUACCCCUGUAGUCCCUGUCUCUUAUAC